UGGGGAAUUUUGGACAAUGGGCGAAAGCCUGAUCCAGCAAUGCCGCGUGUGUGAAGAAGGCCUUCGGGUUGUAAAGCACUUUUGUCCGGAAAGAAAUGGCUCUGGUUAAUACCUGGGGUCGAUGACGGUACCGGAAGAAUAAGGACCGGCUAACUACGUGCCAGCAGCCGCGGUAAUACGUAGGGUCCAAGCGUUAAUCGGAAUUACUGGGCGUAAAGCGUGCGCAGGCGGUUGUGCAAGACCGAUGUGAAAUCCCCGAGCUUAACUUGGGAAUUGCAUUGGUGACUGCACGGCUAGAGUGUGUCAGAGGGGGGUAGAAUUCCACGUGUAGCAGUGAAAUGCGUAGAGAUGUGGAGGAAUACCGAUGGCGAAGGCAGCCCCCUGGAGUAACACUGACGCUCAUGCACGAAAGCGUGGGGAGCAAACAGGAUUAGAUACCCUGGUAGUCCACGCCCUAAAACGAUGUCAACUAGUUGUUGGGGAUUCAUUUCCUUAGUAACGUAGCUAACGCGUGAAGUUGACCGCCUGGGGAGUACGGUCGCAAGAUU
rnacentral:rRNA from 1 species